rnacentral:rRNA from 1 species
CUGGGUAAGUCGGGGCCUAAGGCGAGGCAGAAAUGCGUAGUCGAUGGACAGCAGGUUGAGAUUCCUGCACCCGUAAUGAACAGAACUGUAGUGACACGGAAGGUAAGACAGAGCCGGGAAUGAGAAAACCGGUGCAAGCACAAUAGAUGUGUGGGAGGAAAAUCCCCCGCAUAAGUCAAAGGUGUGAUGCGGACCGAAAAAGAGUAGGGAAGCUGUUAAGCAAGCCGUCAAGAAAAGCUGCUAUUGUUUCAUUAUGGCCCGUACCGUAAACCGACACAGGUGGAUGGGGAGAGAAUCCUAAGGCCGGCGGAAGAAGUAUUGUUAAGGAACUCGGCAAAAUGACCCCGUAACUUCGGGAGAAGGGGUGCCUGCGAGAGCAGGCCGCAGAGAAGAGGCCCAAGCAACUGUUUAGCAAAAACACAGGUCUAUGCAAAACCGAAAGGUGAGGUAUAUGGGCUGACGCCUGCCCGGUGCUGGAAGGUUAAGGGGAGUGGUCAGGAAACGAAGCCACGAACUUAAGCCCCAGUAAACGGCGGCCGUAACUAUAACGGUCCUAAGGUAGCGAAAUUCCUUGUCGGGUAAGUUCCGACCCGCACGAAAGGCGUAAUGAUUUGGGCGCUGUCUCGACAAUACAUCCGGUGAAAUUGAAGUGCCAGUGAAGAUGCUGGCUACCUGCGCCAGGACGGAAAGACCCCAUGGAGCUUUACUCCAGCUUGAUACUGGGACCCGGUAUUGCAUGUACAGGAUAGGUGGGAGGCUAGGAAUGUGGACGCCAGUCUGCAUGGAGCCGCUGUUGGGAUACCACCCUUGUGGUGCUGGGUUUCUAACCAGAGGCCGUGAACCGGUCUGGGGACAAUGUCAGGUGGGGAGUUUGACUGGGGCGGUCGCCUCCGAAAGGGUAUCGGAGGCGCCCAAAGGUUCCCUCAGAAUGGUUGGAAACCAUUCGAAGAGUGCAAAGGCAGAAGGGAGCUUGACUGCGACACCGACGGGUGGAGCAGGUACGAAAGUAGGGCUUAGUGAUCCGGUGGAAUUUAAGUGGGAAUGCCAUCGCUCAACGGAUAAAAGCUACCCUGGGAUAACAGGCUGAUCACUCCCAAGAGUUCACAUCGACGGAGUGGUUUGGCACCUUGAUGUCGGCUCAUCGCAUCCUGGGGCUGAAGUCGGUCCCAAGGGUUGGGCUGUUCGCCCAUUAAAGCGGUACGCGAGCUGGGUUCAGAACGUCGUGAGACAGUUCGGUCCCUAUCCGGCGUGGGCGUAGGAUAUCUGAGAGGAGCUGUCCUUAGUACGAGAGGACCGGGAUGGACUGACCUCUGGUGUACCGGUUGGCGAUCAACGCCACGGCCGGGUAGCCAUGUCGGGACGGGAUAAACGCUGAAGGCAUCUAAGCGUGAAGCCCCCCUCAAGAUGAGAUAUCCCAUCGUAAGAGUAAGACCCCUUGAAGACGACGAGGUUGAUAGGGCAGGGGUGGAAGUGCUGUAAGGCAUGGAGCUGACUGCUACUAAUCGGUCGAGGGCUUG